GGGCCCGCACAAGCGGUGGAGCAUGUGGUUUAAUUCGAUGAUACGCGAGGAACCUUACCAGGGUUUAAAUGCAGAACGACAGGGGUGGAAACACCCCCUUCUUCGGACGGACUGCAAGGUGCUGCAUGGUUGUCGUCAGCUCGUGCUGUGAAGUGUCGGGUUAAGUCCCAUAACGAGCGCAACCCCCAUUUCUAGUUGCCAGCGGUUCGGCCGGGGACUCUAGAGAAACUGCCAGCGUAAGCUGUGAGGAAGGUGGGGAUGACGUCAAAUCAUCACGGCCCUUACGUCCUGGGCUACACACGUGCUACAAUGGUCGGUACAGAGGGAAGCUACCCCGCAAGGGGAUGCGGAUCUAUAAAACCGAUCUCAGUUCGGAUCGGGGUCUGCAACUCGACCCCGUGAAGCUGGAAUCGCUAGUAAUCG
rnacentral:rRNA from 1 species